CAGGAAGAACACUCGCAGAGCAAAACACGCUCUGUUUUGGUUCCCGUACGAGCUCGCAGUGCUGCAGCCGGGAACAUGGACGCCGCCCGCCUCCGCGCACAAGCCCGGCCCUGCCGGCUCACGGACUCGGUGCCGGAGCGGGGAAGGAAGGCGGCCUGGGGAGCGAAGAAGACCGAACCUCCUCUCUGGGUUCUGGCCGAAAGUGGGAUCGUGAAGGAAGCGUCCUCCCCACAGGGUGAGCGGCGGCCGCCGUUAGGCUCGGGCGCAGGACGCGCCGCCGCCCCGCCUGGCCGCGGGUUCCUUUCGAGCGUCUCCGACACGUCUCUUUCCACGUUGGGGACAAGUGCGGGACAAGACGUGGGUAAUUAAACUUGCUCUCGAGGCAAAGAAAUUGUCGCUCCCUUUCUGAAAAACCUAAAGAUGAUUUCUUCAAAAUCGAACGGUCGCCUAACCGCCCGCACCGCACUCCACGCCCUCUUGCUGCCCGGGGAGUGGGGGCGACGCGGCGCAAGGAAGACAGCGCCGGCGGGAGGGCGCCGGAAGGGGGCGCUGCGGGGCCCAUCCGCGCCCUGCGCUGCCCUCCCACCCCGCAGACUCCAGAGCCUCGGCUGGCUUUUAGGGGUCCCUGUGAGAGCUAGCACCUCCCUCGACUCUAAGUCUUGAACAUCAAAAAAUGACUACAGCCAAAAAAGCAAAGCUGAAAACAGCUGAAAUCAUUGCAAGAGGCCUGGAUAGAGUUAUGUGGAGUGAUCAAAUGCAAUGGGAAAACGUUAUAUAUUCUAUGUAGUAAAAGUGUUUCUUGAAGGGAAAUUGAGGAAAUAUCAUUCCCAGUAUCUUAGUUUUUGCAACUAUCUUUCUAAAACAAAUUAUAUGCCAGCUUUCAAAUUUCACAGUGCACAGCAAAACAUGAUUAGCCCCUCAUGGAUGGGGAGUUUAUCCAAAUGGCCAUGUUGUCUGGGAGUAAUUCCCUUUUUCAUGGUUUCCCAAACAAGGAUAAAAUUAUUAAAUGUAUCUCUGAGAUGAAUUUAGCAGAAAUAUCGUUAAAGAUCAAGUCCUGGAUGUAGCAAAUGAUGUUGGUCAGCAGCUCAAAACUGACUUACAAAAGGCAGCCUGUUACUCCAUGUGCUUGGGUGAAUGCACAGAUAUAAAUUAUCAUGCAAGGCUAGCAAUAACUGUGUUAUGCUGUUGGUGACACCAUGAGAGAAGAGCUGGUAAAACUCAUGUCUUUGCUGGAAGAACACAAGAGAUGGAUAUCUACAAUGCUGUGCUAGAGGCUUUUUGUCACAAGACAUACGACCAAAAAAAGUGGUUUCAAUUACUAGCGACGGGGCACCUUGCAUGGUGGGGGCAACAUCUGGUUUCAUAUAGUUCUUUGUUAGAGAAGUAAAAUACCCAGGAUUCACUUUUAUUGUAUUAUACAUUAAGAAGCUCUUUAUGCCAGGGAAAGCAGCAAAAAAAAAAAAUUAGAGGAUGUCACAAAAAUAGUGAACUACACCAUGGCUCAUGCUCUUAACUUUUUUCAAGCACUUCUUGAUGAGGAUCAGGCACAGUGUAAUGCUUUACUUAUGUACAAUAAUGUCCAGGAGCUGAGCAGAGAAUAAGUUCUGGAGAGAUUUGUAGCUUGCUUGGAUGAAAUUAGGCUGUUUAUGAAUGAAAAAGGGCAGGAAUAGCCACAACUUAUUGAUACAACCCCAUUUUAAAAAAUAUGUAACAGAUUUUACACUACAAUGUACUGAACAAAAAACUAUAAAGGAUGUUUUGUAAUAUCAAAACAUUUGAGAGAAAAUGCAGGUUUUUGAAAGAAACCUUCAAAGUGGGCAGCUGAAAUAUUUUUCAAAUCUAAAAAUACAGUUAGAAAAUGGCACAAUAUUUGCAGACAAUCCUACAGGUCAUCAGGAAAUCUACAAGGAAUUUUCUAGCAUUGUAGCAGCUGUAAAGGAGAAAUUUAGUAACAGAUUUUUAUAGUUCCAUUAAGAUGGAGACAACGCUGUGUUUUCUCACUUCUCCAAAUAAAGCCAACAUUGAAGAACUUGAUCUUUCCUCCUUACACUGGAUAGAUUUUGGAAAUCUGGAAAUGGAGCUAUUAGAAUUUUAAGAAACUCUAUGACCUGCAUGCAACACUUGAGAAGACAGAGAAUAUAGAGUGAAGGGAUGACAAAGGUCAGCAGAGCUGGUAGCUCUGAAAAUGAAAUCCUGAAAGUGUGGCGUUCUCUGUGAAAUAAUUUUAAGUCAAUGAGCCCUUGGGAUCGCUUUUCUUUGUUUAGAUCAUCUUAUACUUGUGAGCAGCUAUUUUCAGGUUUGAAUUAUAUCAAAUCUGAUACAAGAAACAGAUUAACAGCUGACUGAGUGCUGCAUGUGUUGCCCCCAAACUAACGAGUGUGAGCCAAGGUUUGACAAAUUAUCGGCAUGUAUACAACAGCAAAGAUCACAUUAAUUGGUCAAAAGCACUCCAAAUGCAAACUUUUAGCUUUCAAUAAAAGCCAUUUGUAUCACUGAAA
ensembl:lncRNA